CCCUUAGAUGUUCUGGGCCGCACGCGCGCUACACUGAAGGGAUCAGCGUGUUUUCCCUUCCCGAGAGGGACGGGUAACCCGCUGAACCCCCUUCGUGGUAGGGAUCGGAGCUUGCAAUUGUUCUCCGUGAACCAGGAAUUCCCAGUAAGCGCAAGUCAUAAGCUUGCGUUGAUUACGUCCCUGCCCUUUGUACACACCGCCCGUCGCUACUACCGAUUGAACGUUUUAGUGCGGUAUUUGGACUGGGCCUUGGGAGGUUUCGGCCUCCCUUGUUGCUCGGAAAGACUCCCAAACUUGAGCGUUUAGAGGAAGUAAAAGUCGUAACA
rnacentral:rRNA from 1 species